UUAGAGUUUGAUCCUAGCUCAGGAUGAACGCUGGCGGCGUGGGUAAGGCAUGCAAGUCAAACGGUUGAGUGCUAGCAAUAGCGCUCAGCAGUGGCGAACGAGGUAGUAAUAAGCAGGUACGAACCGAGAAGUCAGGAAUAGUCCGCCGAAAGGCGGGUUAAUACUUGAUGGUCUGAGCAUCUCACAAAGGUUCGAUGCAGUUAAAAGUCUAUAAAGUCAUAAAGUCUAUAAAGUCGGAAUUUGUUUCCACUUUACAGACUUUCGACUUUAAGGACUGCACCGAGGUUUUGCGAGGUGCUUAGUAAAGAUUUAUCGCUUCUUGAUCGGCCUGUUCGAUAUCAGCUAGUUGGUAGGGUAAUGGCCUACCAAGGCUAUGACGUCUAGGGGAGCUGAGAGGCUGACCCCCACCGAUGGAACUGAGACACGGUCCAUACACCUACGGGUGGCCGCAGUCGAGAAUCUUCCGCAAUGGGCGAAAGCCUGACGGAGCGACGCCGCGUGAUUGAUGAAGUCCUUAGGGAUGUAAAAAUCUUUUAUGAGGGAGGAAGUUUAUUGACGUUACCUCAUGAAUAAGGGGUUGCAAAACUCGUGCCAGCAGCAGCGGUAAUACGAGUGCCCCGAGCGUUAUCCGGAAUCAUUGGGCGUAAAGGAUGUGUAGGCGGUCUUGUUAGUCUUUUGUUAAGGCUCCCGGCUUAACCGGGAAAAUGCAAAGGAAACGGCAAGACUUGAGGGUGCGAGGGGUCUAUGGAACUCAUGGUGUAGGGGUGAAAUCUGUUGAUAUCAUGGGGAACACCAAAAGCGAAGGCAAUAGACUGGAGCAUUCCUGACGCUGAAACAUGAAAGCGUGGGUAGCGAAUGGGAUUAGAUAAACGCUCAUCCCGAUGAACAUCGGGAUUCGCUUCUGUGAAAGGAGGCGGAGAGCAAAUGUCUCAUCUGUUGGCAACAAUAGAAAGUAAAUUUGUCCCGAUUUUGAUUGCCAAAAGCAAUGACAAAAUCGAGGAUCCCGAUAAGCGUAAGCGACAUCGGGAGCUAUAUGCUGGAAACUCUGCGAAUGCGAGAGUACCGAAAGGUGACAAUCUCUCGACGAUGCAGACAAUCAGCAGGGAAGAUUUGCAAACUGUAUUAAGGAAAAGUUCUUUGGGUGGGGGCAGAAAUAGGCACUAUAUCAAGGGAAUGGGUGAAUAAUUAAGGCAACCUGUCCGGAAGGUUGAUUACACUUAGUUAUUCGCAAAAAUGAUUCUUCAAGAGAAGAAUAUAGAACAUUCCAAUUUAAUGGUAUAGACGGGUUCGAUUCCCGUUGCCUCCACCAAUAAUAAGUUUUAUUACUUAUUUCCUUAAUAUAGUUUGCAAAAACCCUCAGAGACUACAUGCCAAACCCCCUCCUCAGAUUUUUUGAAAAAAUCUGAGGAGGGGUGAAGAUAUAGUCCGAACUGCAUAGCGAUAUGCAGAGCGAAGCAGAAAUGACUUCGCCGUCAGCAAGAUUUUAGAUUUAAAUUUUUAGAUUUAAGUUUCAAUUUUGUUGUCGCAACAAAAUUGACCCCAGUAGUCCACGCCCUAAACUAUCUUCUCUGGCUUUUCGGAGUAUCGACCCUCUGAGAGGCGAAGCUAACGCGUUAAGAGAAGCGCCUGGGUAGUACGACCGCAAGGUUAAAACUCAAAGGAAUAGACGGGGACUUGCACAAGCGGUGGAUCAUGUGGUUUAAUUCGAUGGUAAACGAAGAACCUUACCAGGGUUAGAAAUCUAAUCGAAGGCUAGCAGAAACGUUAGCCGUCUCACAAGGACGGUUAGACAGGUGAUGCAUGGCCGUCGUCAGUUCGUGGUUUGAAUUGUUCCCUUAAGUGGGGUAACGAACGCAACCCUCGUUGCCUGUUAUAAGUGUCAGGCGAGACUGCCCCCGAUUUUGAGCAGAAGCUUAAAAUCGAGUUAUAAAGUUGAAAGUUAUUCCGCCUAGGGCGGAUCCUCUUUCGGAGGAAAAGUUCAUAAAGUAAAGUAAGAGAAUUUAAUUUCCGACUUUUAAACUUUACAAACUUGAUAAACUUUUUACUUUGAUUUUGCUUCCGAGCAAAAUCGGGGGAGGAAGGCGAGGAUGACGCCAGGUCAGCAUGUCCCUCUGAUACCCUGGGCUACACACGUGAUACAAUGGCCGUUACAACGGGACGCAAUGCCGAGAGGCGGAGCAAAUCCUUAUAAAAGCGGCCUAAGUUCGGAUUGAGGUCUGCAACUCGACCUCAUGAAGCUGGAAUCGCUAGUAAUCACAGGUCAGCUAUACUGUGGUGAAUACGUUCUCAAGUCUUGUACUCACCGCCCGUCAACUCAAGGGAGUCGGAAGUACCCGAAGUCUGCCAUUAGGCGGCCUACGGUAAGUUCGAUGACAGGGAGUAAGUCGUCAUUGCACAAUGCAAAUUGCGACCUGUCAAGGCAACUUGACAGAAAAAACCAACUGAAAUCGGUGAAGCCCUCCUCUUUAAGUGUUAUAAUUAAAGGCAUGAAGGUAAUACCGAGGGAAGCUGGGAGAGUCACAUAUUCAACUAAAAUUAGAGAACUGAAAAAUUUGCCUUUUACGGAAAAGCAAAAGGCAAUAAUAAUUGGAAUGAUUUUGGGUGAUGGUUGUCUUUGCGAUAAUUGGUCUAAAACCAAUUCUCGUCUCAUAGUGAGUCAUUCGAUUGAUCAGUCAGAAUAUAUUUGGUGGAAAUAUCACGAGUUAAAAUCGCACAUUUUAACCCCGCCACGAUAUUAUGAAAGAAAUCGUUCACUUACAAUAAGAACAAUCAGCCAUCCCGAGAUUACGAAAUUUAGAGAAGUUUUCUACGCACAAAAACGAAAGAUAGUUCCGCAGAAUAUUGCGAAACUCAUCACGAAUCCGUUGGUGCUAGCUGUAUGGUUUAUGGAUGAUGGCAACAAUAUUCAAAGAAAUGGAAAAAGUUGUGGCUAUCAUAUCAAUACUCAAUCUUUCACUCAUAAAGAAAACAAAUUGCUUGCGGAAAGUUUACGCAAAAUAUAUGGCACAGAGGCCACACUGGAACGAAAUCACGAAAAAUACAGAUUGGCAGUUUGGAAAAAGGAUUCGCGAGAAAAGAUUAGAAACUUAACGCAACCGCACAUAUUGAAAGAUAUGCUAUAUAAAAUUGGUUGAAUAUGUGACUCUCCUUAGCCCCGUAGAGACUGAAUCCGAGUAUUCGCCUCAAGGCAAAUACUAGGUGAAGAUAGCAGAUUUAACAACUGUUAUAAAACGUUGGCUCCCUCCCCAGUUUUGAUUUUAGAAAUUUCUAUUUUCAAAAUUGGGGAAGGAUGAAGAUAUAGUCCAUGCCCCAAUGAAAAUUGGGGGAGAAAACAUGAACAAGGCACGGGUAGCGGAAGCUGCUCGUGGAUUA
rnacentral:rRNA from 2 species